CUUUCGUACCCCGGAAUAUCUUGGAUUUCUUAAGUUGCAAGUCGUUCCUCGAUUUACGGGUACGGAUAUAUUACCCGUGUACCCGUAAACCGGAACCUGGCCCUGGGUUGGCCCUGGGUAUCUUAUAAGCUACGUUUACAUUCGUACGGGUUACUGGGUUAGCUUUCCGUAGCGACGUGAAAAAACACCUAUCCGCACCUUUUAGGAACGAUAUUUUCAGAGGAAUUAUUGCAACGGAGAGAUGUUGUUUAGUCUCAGCUUCUGAAAGUUGUACAUUCCGUAUCAGAUAGUUCAGUGCUUCUUCAUGCCGCUACGAAAAGCUAUCCGAUACAAGGCGUAGCUUUCUCUAAUAAAACACAAAACAAUAGACACUCCGAAAAUUGUAAACAUUUUUAAUCUUUACGUUUCGACUAUAAUUUAAGUCAUCUUCAGAAGAAACCCCUAUUGCUGGCCAGAGAAAAUAUCUAAAAAAUAUGCUCACUGAUAGGGGUGUCAGAAUUUCUGACACCCCUAUUGCUGGCCAGAGAGAACAUCUAACCCCCCCCCCACCCC